ensembl:lncRNA
UAGUAUAUUAGUAUUAGCUUUUGGGUUUGGGGAAUUAGUAUUAGCUAUAGGGUGUAUGGUAUUAGUAUUAGCUAUAGGGUGCAGGGAAUAAGUAUUAGCUAUAGGGUGGAGGGUAUUAGUAUUAGUAUUAGCUAUAGGUGUAGGGUAUUAGUAUUAGCUGUAGGGUGUACGGUAUUAGUAUUAGUAUUAGCUAUAUGGUGUAGGGUCUUAGUAUUAGCUAUAAGGUGUAGGGUAUUAGUAUUAGUGUUAGCUAUAGGGUGUAGGGUAUUAGUAUUAGCUAUAUGGUGUAAGGUCUUAGUAUUAGCUAUAGGGUGUAGGGUAUUACUAUUAGCUAUAGGGUGUAGGGUAUUAGUAUUAGCUAUAGGGUGUAGGGUAUUAGUAUUAGUACUAGCUAUAGGGUGUAGGGUAUUAGUCUUAGCUUUUGGGUGUGUGGAAUUAGUGUUGGUAUUAGCUAUAGGGUAUUAGUAUUAGCAACAGGGUGUAGGGUAUUAGUAUUAGCUAUAAGGUGUAGGGUAUACGUAUUACUAUUAGCUAUAGGGUAUACGUAUUAGUAUUAGCUAUAGGGUGUAGGGUAUUCGUGUUAGUAUUAGCUAUAUGGUGUAGGGUAUUAGUAUUAGCUAUAGGGUGUAGGUUAUUAGCUAUAGGGUGUAGGGUAUUAGUAUUAGCUAUAGGGUGUAGGAUAUUAGUGUUAGCUAUAGGGUGUAGGGUAUAAGUAUUAGUAUUAUCUAUAGG